AGUCUCAGGUGUUCCCAUUCUCUGAUCAGGACAGAACAGACACCUCACCAUGGAGUUUGUGCUUGGCUGGGUGUUCCUGGUUGCUCUUUUAAAAGGUGUCCAGUGUGACGUGCAGCUGGUGGAGUCUGGAGGAGACCUGGUGAAGCCUGGUGCCA